rnacentral:rRNA from 1 species
UCCUACGGGGGGCAGCAGUGGGGAAUAUUGCACAAUGGGGGAAACCCUGAUGCAGCGACGCCGCGUGAGCGAUGAAGUAUUUCGGUAUGUAAAGCUCUAUCAGCAGGGAAGAAAAUGACGGUACCUGACUAAGAAGCCCCGGCUAACUACGUGCCAGCAGCCGCGGUAAUACGUAGGGGGCAAGCGUUGUCCGGAAUUACUGGGCGUAAAGAGAGCGUAGGCGGCACUACAAGUCUCAUGUGAAAUACCCGGGCUUAACUUGGGGGGUGCAUGGGAAACUGUAGAGCUUGAGUACAGGAGAGGCA